AUUGAACGCUGGCGGCAUGCCUUACACAUGCAAGUCGAACGGUAACGCGGGGCAACCUGGCGACGAGUGGCGAACGGGUGAGUAAUGCAUCGGAACGUGCCUGGUAUGGGGGAUAACUGUUCGAAAGAGCAGCUAAUACCGCAUACGACCUGAGGGUGAAAGGGGGGGAUCGCAAGACCUCUCGCUAUCAGAGCGGCCGAUGUCGGAUUAGCUAGUUGGUGGGGUAAAGGCCCACCAAGGCAACGAUCCGUAGCUGGUCUGAGAGGACGACCAGCCACACUGGGACUGAGACACGGCCCAGACUCCUACGGGAGGCAGCAGUGGGGAAUUUUGGACAAUGGGCGCAAGCCUGAUCCAGCCAUGCCGCGUGCGGGAAGAAGGCCUUCGGGUUGUAAACCGCUUUUGUCAGGGAAGAAAUCUUCUGGGUUAAUACCUCGGGAGGAUGACGGUACCUGAAGAAUAAGCACCGGCUAACUACGUG
rnacentral:rRNA from 1 species